rnacentral:ncRNA from 1 species
UGUCCGGCUCUCCAUUACCAAGCCGGAUACAGCUUUAAUAAGGAGGAACAGCAAAACUCCCUGAGACUCAGGGUGCGGCAGUGUGGAGACCUGUCGUAAUGCGGGAGGCUAUGCCCCUGCGAGGAUACCGGCGCGGAGGCCCGGCGUUCAGAGUCAGGAAAAAUGGCA